rnacentral:rRNA from 1 species
AUUGAACGCUGGCGGCAGGCCUAACACAUGCAAGUCGAGCGGAGCAGGAGACGGGUGCGUAAUGCCUAGGUCUCUGCAUCGUAGCGGUGGAUAGCGUCCGGAAACGGGCGCUAGUACCGCUUACUAUCACAUGAGCCGCGGUGGGAUUAGCUAGUUGGUGGGGUAAAGGCAUACCAAGGCGACGAUCCGUAACUGGUCUGAGAGGAUGAUCAGUCACACUGGAACUGAGACACGGUCCAGACUCCUACGGGAGGCAGCAGUGGGGAAUAUUGGGCAAUGGGCGAAAGCCUGAUCGAGCAAUGCCGCGUGUGUGAAGAAGGUCUUCGGAUUGUAAAGCACUUUAAGUUGGGAGGCGUUACCAACAGAAUAAGCACCGGCUAACUUCGUGCCAGCAGCCGCGGUAAUAC